AUUUAUGGUUAAACCUGCCCAAUGUGAUAUUAAUGGCCGCGGUACUUUGACCGUGCUAAGGUAGCGUAAUCAGUUGGCUUUUAAAUGGAGUCAGGAAUGAAUGGAUUAGCCGGGUUUAGCUGUCUCUAAGCUAUUAUAUCGAAUUUACUGUCUAGGUGAAAAAGCCUAGGGCUAAAAAAGGGACGAGAAGACCCUUAGAAUUUUUUCUAAAAAAUUGCUUUUACUGAUUUUGUUGGGGCGACAGAGAAAUAUUUUAAAACUUUCUUUUGUAGACAUGCCGAUUGUGUUAAGAUAGGAUAAAUUACCUAAGGGAUAACAGCAUAAUUCUAUAGAUGAGUUUGUGACCUCGAUGUUGGACUAGGAAACUAGCAAGCUAGGCGUUUGUUGUGUGGGUUCUGUUCGAACUUUAAAUCC
rnacentral:rRNA from 1 species